UCGGGCUGGGGCUAAGAAUGCAAGUCGUGCGCGAUCGCCAUGCCCGAUCGCGCGGCGAACGGCUCCGUAACACGUCCCCAACCGAACCUCGGGAUCCGGAUACCCUCGGGAAACUGAGGCUAAUCCGGAAUAGGGGAGAGUGACUGGAAGGCCUCUCCCCGAAAAGGAAACCGAGGCUAGGGUCGGUUUUCCGCCCGAGGACGGGGGGGCGUCCCAUCAGGUAGUAGGUGGGGUAACGGCCCACCUAGCCUAUGACGGGUACGGGCGCUGAGAGGCGGAGCCCGGAGAGGGGCACUGAGACAAGGGCCUCAGCCCUACGGGGUGCAGCAGUCGCGAAACCUCCGCAAUGCGCGAAAGCGUGACGGGGUCAGCCCGAGUGCCACCCGAGAGGGUGGCUGUGGCUGGCUGUAAACAAGCCGGCUUAGAAAGCGGAGGGCAAGGCUGGUGCCAGCCGCCGCGGUAAAACCAGCUCCGCGAGUGGUCGGGGCGUUUACUGGGCUUAAAGGGUCCGUAGGCGGCUCUGUGUGUCCGCGGCUAAAUCUCGGGGCUCAACCCCGAGACUGCUGCGGAUACUACAGAGCUAGGGACCGGGCGAGGGCGGGAGUACUCCCGGGGUAGGGGCGAAAUCCUGAGAUCCCGGGGGGACUAUCGGUGGCGAAGGCGCCCGCCUAGAACGGCUCCGACGCUGAGGGACGAAAGCCUGGGGAGCGAAGGGGAUUAGAUACCCCCGUAGUCCAGGCUGUAAA
rnacentral:rRNA from 1 species